rnacentral:rRNA from 1 species
UGGGGAAUAUUGGGCAAUGGGGGAAACCCUGACCCAGCAACGCCGCGUGAGCGAUGAAGGCCUUCGGGUCGUAAAGCUCUGUCCUCAAGGAAGAUAAUGACGGUACUUGAGGAGGAAGCCCCGGCUAACUACGUGCCAGCAGCCGCGGUAAUACGUAGGGGGCUAGCGUUAUCCGGAAUUACUGGGCGUAAAGGGUGCGUAGGUGGUUUCUUAAGUCAGAGGUGAAAGGCUACGGCUCAACCGUAGUAAGCCUUUGAAACUGAGAAACUUGAGUGCAGGAGAGGAGAGUAGAAUUCCUAGUGUAGCGGUGAAAUGCGUAGAUAUUAGGAGGAAUACCAGUUGCGAAGGCGGCUCUCUGGACUGUAACUGACACUGAGGCACGAAAGCGUGGGGAGCAAACA